rnacentral:miRNA from 1 species
AAAAAUGGAGUGAGAAAUGGA